rnacentral:rRNA from 1 species
GAUGAACGCUGGCGGCGUGCCUAAUACAUGCAAGUCGAGCGAACGGACGAGAAGCUUGCUUCUCUGAUGUUAGCGGCGGACGGGUGAGUAACACGUGGAUAACCUCCCUAUAAGACUGGAGGAACUAGGGGAACCAGUACCUAAUACGGGCUAAUAUUUUAAACCGCAUGUUUUAAAAGUGAACGCGGGCCUUGCUGCCACUGUCAGAUGGAGCCGCGCUGCAUUUGCAAGUUGGUAAGGUAAAGGCUUACCAAGUCAACGAUGCAUAGCCGACCUGAGAGGGUGAUCGGCCACACUGGAACUGGGACACGGUCCAGACUCCUACGGGAGGCAGCAGUAGGGAAUUUUCGGCAAUGGGCGAAAGCCUGACGGAGCAACGCCGCGUGAGUGAUGAAGGUCUUCGGAUCGUAAAACUCUGUUAUUAGGGAAGAACAUAUGUGUAAGAAACUGUGCACAUCUUGACGGUACCUAAUCAGAAAGCAACGGCUAACUACGUG